UACCACCUAUAAUCGUUUUAAUCGAUGGGGGGACGCAGUAGGAUAGGCGAAGCGUGCGAUUGGAUUGCACGUCUAAGCAGUAAGGCUGAGUAUUAGGCAAAUCCGGUACUCAUUAAGGCUGAGCUGUGAUGGGGAGAAGACAUUGUGUCUUCGAGUCGUUGAUUUCACACUGCCGAGAAAAGCCUCUAGAUAGAAAAUAGGUGCCCGUACCGCAAACCGACAC
rnacentral:rRNA from 1 species